rnacentral:miRNA from 1 species
CAAGUGACGCAAACUGGAAA